rnacentral:rRNA from 1 species
GAGUUUGAUCCUGGCUCAGAUUGAACGCUGGCGGCAUGCUUUACACAUGCAAGUCGAGCGGCAGCGCGGGGCAACCUGGCGGCGAGCGGCGGACGGGUGAGUAACACAUCGGAACGUAUCCUUGAGUGGGGGACAACCCAGCGAAAGCUGGGCUAAUACCGCAUACGCUCUAAGGAGGAAAGCAGGGGACCGCAAGGCCUUGCGCUGAAGGGGCGGCCGAUGUCCGAUUAGCUAGUUGGUGGGGUAAAGGCCUACCAAGGCGACGAUCGGUAGCUGGUCUGAGAGGAUGAUCAGCCACACUGGGACUGAGACACGGCCCAGACUCCUACGGGAGGCAGCAGUGGGGAAUUUUGGGACAAUGGGGGCAACCCUGAUCCAGCCAUGCCGCGUGCGGGAAGAAGGCC